GGGGAGUUAGGCUAGCCUGGUAGGCUUUUAGGUUUGGGACCUAAAGACCCGAGUUCAAAUCUCGGACUCCCCG
rnacentral:tRNA from 1 species